CGGUAAGACGAAGGAUGCAAGCGUUAUCCGGAAUUACUGGGCGUAAAGGGCGUCUAGGCGGCUGGGUAAGUCACCUGUGAAAGCCCUCGGCUUAACCGAGGAACGGCGGGUGAUACUGCCUGGCUUGGGUACAGGAGAGGGGGGUGGAACUCACAGAGUAGCGGUGGAAUGCGUAGAUACUGUGAGGUACCCCGAUGGCGAAGGCAACCCCCUGGCCUGUUACCGACGCUGAAGCGCGAAAGCGUGGGGAGCGAAGGGGAUUAGAUACCCCCGUAGUCCACGCCCCAAACGAUGUUCACUUGGUGUCGGCCGCAUAGAUUGGUCGGUGCCGAAGCUAACGCGUUAAGUGAACCGCCUGAGGAGUACGGCCGCAAGGCUAAAACUCAAGAGAAUUGACGGGUCCCCGCACAAGCGGUGGAGCACGUGGUUUAAUUCGAUGCUAAACGAAAAACCUCACCUGGGCUUGACAUGCUAGUGGUAGGAACCUGAAAGGGGGACGACCCCUGCCUUCGGGUAGGGGAGCUAGCACAGGUGAUGCAUGGCUGUCGUCAGCUCGUGUCGUGGGACGUAGGGUUAAGUCCCGGAACGAGCGCAACCCCUGUCGUCAGUUGCCAGCGGGUAAUGCCGGGGACUCUGACGAGACUGCCGGUGAAUAGCCGGAGGAAGGAGGGGAUGACGUCAAGUCAUCAUGUCCCUUAUGCCCAGGGCGACACACAUGCUACAAUGGGGGGUACAAAGGGUUGCAAUCCCGCAAGGGGGAGCCAAUCCCAAAAAACCCUCCUCAGUUCGGAUUGAGGUCUGCAACUCGACCUCAUGAAGCCGGAAUCGCUAGUAAUCGCGGGUCAGCCAUACCGCGGUGAAUAUGUACUCGGG
rnacentral:rRNA from 1 species